rnacentral:tRNA from 1 species
GGGAAGGUAGUGUAAACGGCAACAUGCUGGCCUCCAAAGCCAUGCGUUCUAGGUUCGAAUCCUAGUCGGCCCG